UCAUGUAGCGCCAGCCACACCAGGAACAGAAGGGUGCCGGGUACCUUCCGCAUGCUUGGUAUUCUCCCCGCGGGGCUCUGACCGCUGCCGCUCUCAGGCACCUGUCUUUCCUCUCCGUCCCAGAAUGGAGCCAAGACAAGGGAAUAAACGAAAUUCAAUAGUACACGGAGAUCGGGUGUCUGGGCAGCGUCUUGGAAAAACUAUCCACUACAGUACAGGUCAAGUGAAGUUCUUCUGCUGAUAUGUUCUGCUACUGCAUAAGAGACGGAAUCUAUGUUGCCUCGACUGGUCCUGAACUCCUGGGCUAAAGCGAUCCUUCUGCCUUGGCCUCCCAAAGUGCGAGGAUUAUAGGUGUGAGCCACCCAACCUGGCCUUUGCCAGUAUUUUUAAAUCCAAACACCUAUGCAUGGUGCUUACUAAUAACACAGUGGUAUUCUAAACAUUUUUCACCUAUUAUUUAAUCUUUAUUAUUAUCACCAUGUUACAGAUAAGGACCCUGGCUAAAUAGCUUACCCAACAUUACUCCGUUAAUAAAUGGUAGAACCUGUAUUUCACUCAAGCAGUCUGGUGUCCACGCGAUUAACACUAGACUAUGUUGUCUCUCAAAAACUCAUCCUGAUUACCAAGGCAAGUAUUUGUAAGUCUAGGCUAUUAUUAUAAAGUUCGAAAUUUGCCUACUUCACAUGCCAAAGACAUAAAGAAGGAAUUAUAGGAGUUGGCUUCAGAAUUUAGGACUUGACCUAAGCUAUUCAGAGAAACUCAGAACCAGGCUCUUUCUUGGAGUUUGCUUAU
rnacentral:lncRNA from 1 species